rnacentral:ncRNA from 1 species
UACUGCAUGAACCGGUGUUCGUUUCUAGCAGUGUUUAUCUUCCAGACUGUUGUGGUUACUCUACUUCAGUGUGGUGGAUUGACACUGCUGGAUUCGUUCUGAGAUUAUACGGUUUCGAACUUGAUCAGGAUAAUACCUGCGAAAAGGAUCAUGCUCUGCGCUGUC